UCAGAAAUAUUGUAACGCGGUAUUAUAUAAAUAUUGUUUGCUGUUCACUCUGUCGAUACCAUAUUCUAUUUUCCGCGGCAACACGUCGACAACCUGAUCGCAGUUUGUUAAUCGCGCCGUAAAAGUAUAGGCAAGACUGUAUACCAAUAAACAUUAGCCUAAACGAUCGUGUUUAAGUGUUAAUACGGAAUGUCUGUCGGGCAAACAGUUAAUCGGUCUAUAACUGACGGUAUAUCGCCAACGCAAAUCGCCGGUUAUAGUUACGUUCUUAUAACAACAAAACCGUAUUGAUAUUUCUUGAUGAAAGUAUGUGCGGGUAGGUAUAUGAAAUCUCACGUGCACCGGCGAUCUGAUACUCAUUAUGUUUGGCAUUUGAAAAUAUUCGGAUUCGAACCUUUAAGAGGUGUAGCCGGUAUAUUCGUGAACAAUCGAAAUAUAAAAAUCGAAAACGAGAAUUUAACGU